rnacentral:rRNA from 1 species
CAGCGAUUAGGUCGGGAACUCAAAGGAGACUGCCAGUGAUAAACUGGAGGAAGGUGGGGAUGACGUCAAGUCAUCAUGGCCCUUACGACCAGGGCUACACACGUGCUACAAUGGCGCAUACAAAGAGAAGCGACCUCGCGAGAGCAAGCGGACCUCAUAAAGUGCGUCGUAGUCCGGAUUGGAGUCUGCAACUCGACUCCAUGAAGUCGGAAUCGCUAGUAAUCGUGGAUCAGAAUGCCACGGUGAAUACGUUCCCGGGCCUUGUACACACCGCCCGUCACACCAUGGGAGUGGGUUGCAAAAGAAGUAGGUAGCUUAACCUUCGGGAGGGCGCUUACCACUUUGUGAUUCAUGACUGGGGUGAAGUCGUAACAAGGUAACCGUAGGGGAACCUGCGGUUGGAUCACCUCCUUA